rnacentral:lncRNA from 1 species
GUAUGGUGAGGUAUAAAGAAAAAAUAGUAGCACAGGGGUUUUGACCGGGAGACCAAGUAUUAUUGAUGUUUUUUGAACAUAAAGGAGAACUAUGUAUUUUUUAUUAAUUAAGAAGAGAAAAACAAGUAGAAACCUUACAAAUUAACACACACAUUCUAAGUUACAUUCGCACCCGUGAUUAUUGUUUGCGGGAACAAUCCGACCUAAAGCCUAACCACUCCUGGGACAUGGGUAGUCAGGCGGUAAGCCUGGUAAAUAAGGACAACUGUAACAUAGAGGUAGUAUAUCUUCGUGGUAUUCAGUACUUGCAAAGUCAAGACGAUGAAGAAGCUGAUGCAACCACAGAGGCUGGUAAAACUAAGCGUAGUCACAGUAUUUUGCGGGAACAUCACCACGCCGAUGUUUCAUACACAACAGAAGCCUAUAAAUAACCUGAGAUUAUUUGCGACCACACGUCGUUACCUCUUCCUGCGGGGAGUACAACACUACCGAUUCAAAGUAACAGACACACACCACUCUUUCCCAAAC